rnacentral:rRNA from 1 species
UUUCUGCCCUAUGAUUAGUUAAAUGGCUGCAGUAUUCUGACUGUGCAAAGGUAGCAUAAUAAUUAGUCUUUUAAUUGAAGACUUGUAUGAAUGAAUAGAUGAGGGAUUAAUUUUAUUUUUUUUAAAAUUCAAAUUUGAUAUUUAAGUAAAAAAUCUUAAUUUAUUUUCCGGGACGAUAAGACCCUAUAGAACUUUAUUUUUAUUUUUUUUUUAUUUAUUUUUAGAUUAAUUUAUUAUUAAUUUUUAUAAUUUUUUUCNGGGGCGGAGAAUAAAUUUGACUUUAUUUUUUUUAUUCAUUUUUUUAUGUUAAUUUGAUCCAUUUUUGAUUAUAANAUUAAGUUACCUUAGGGAUAACAGCGUAAUUUUAAUGAGGAGUUCAUAUCUAUAUUAAAGUUUGCNACCUCNAUGUUNAAUUAAGGUUANAUUGAGGGGNAG